AUACGGAGGACCCGAGCGUUAUCCGGAUUUAUUGGGUUUAAAGGGUGCGCAGGCGGCCAUUUAAGUCAGCGGUUAAAUCGUGGGGCUCAGCCCUAUUCUGCCCUUGAUACUGGCGUGCUGGAGUACGGAUGCCGUUGGAGGAAUGAGGGGUGUAGCGGUGAAAUGCUUAGAUAUCACUCAGAACACCGAUUGCGAAGGCAUCUGACGAAUCCGUCACUGACGCUGAGGCACGAAAGCGUGGGGAUAGAACAGGAUUAGAUACCCUGGUAUUCCACGCCGUAAACGAUGAUGACUAACCGUCGGCGAUAGACAGCCGGUGGCCAAGCGAAAGCGAUAAGUCAUCCACCUGGGGAGUACGUCGGCAACGAUGAAACUCAAAUGAAUUGACGGGG
rnacentral:rRNA from 1 species